AUUUGUUUUCCAUUGUGAAAGUGACUGAAAAAAGUUGAGUCCUCAGGUUUAGAUUUAACAGUCAGUGCCACAUGAUGCCGUCUCAUGUGUGAGGGUUGCGGGGAGGGGUUUAUGUGUGUGUGCGCGUGUGUGUGUGUGUGUGUAGCAAGGCUCUGUUUUUGGGGUGGAGAGGGGAAAGGAAUCUUUGUGUUUGUGAGAAGUCGACGUACUUUAACCACAGAGUGCUGUGCAAUGAUGAAUGUCUCACUGGGAGAGAGAGGAAGGGGAAACUACUAGUGCUUCUGGCAGUCUCAGAGUUAUUUGUAGAAAGCAUGUCAAUGUGUUACCUGCUUUUCAGAGGCACACACACCUCUGUUAACAUCUUAGUAGACACUCAGGAGUAAGACAGGACCUGAAGGAGACACACGGAGUGAGGGAGUCUGUGGGUCACCACUGCUUUUGGGACCUCUUGCACAGUGUGGGACCAUCUGCACAAUGGGUUCAGUAAUGUGAGCUACACAACUAGAGUGUCGUCCAGCGAGCUGUAGUGAGGCAGGUUGGGCAUGAGCAGGGGUAUUCUGGGUUUGUACUGCAGUAUGGACGGCUCCCAGCGCUAUCAGACCAUCCCGUCCCGCUGCUCGGUAUGUGGGCGGUACACACGCAGAGCGUCCUUCUCCUUGGUCCGCAUCUCGGUCGGGGAAAUGGAGACAUACCAUCAUUUGCUGAAAGUGUGUCUGGAGACUGAAUUAGCAUCGAGGAGAAAUGAGAUUAUGCAGCAGGAGAUCAGGCCGUUACUGGCAGUCGACAUAAUUGAACAACUUCACAGGCAGUUUGCUCUUCUUUCAGGUGAGAAAUGAAUAUGUCUGUUUGCUCUUCAGGUUGGGAGAAAAAGGCUUAUUGUUUUUUAAGCUAUUUACUUUCCUUCUCUAUAGCUAUUGGUGACGCUUUUGAACUUUGACCCUUUCUUGUUUGUGAGGAUGAAUGUGGGUCAGGUUUCUGUGGUGGCAGUUAAUUGAUGUUAAUGCUCGCGAAUCACAUUCACUCAUGUCAGUACUGUUGUACAAUUCCCAGUCCUCCAUUUCCUCGGAUGCUCAUUAGCACAUAAAAACUUCUGCUGUCUCAUUUUCUCAUGAUGCAUAUUAUAUAAUAAUGAAUCGAGAAAUAUCCAAGGGCCCCUCGGUGAAUCUCCAUUUGUGGUUUAUGAACCCAGCGUCCACAAUUAACUUUUAGCCACACUGACUUGAGAAUGGAGAAAUUAUACCAGCCAUAAAUAUUUCUUACAGGUCAUUCAACACAUCAU
ensembl:lncRNA